UUUAGGAUCUACCUGAAUACCAGCUGCAACCAAUAAACUCUUUCUCUGGGGCUGGAAAACAUAUUUAAAGUCAUGAUUGAGACCAAGAGCAUCACUUCCAUCCUUGCUGUAGAUUUUGUUGGGACAUCUCAUCAACGAACAUGAAGCUGUUUCUCCUGAUGGUUCUUGCCACUCUGUUGACUGCAGAAUGUGUUGUUGCAGAA